AGAGGGUGAUCCCCCACACUGGUACUGAGACACGGACCAGAUUCCUACGGGAGGCAGCAGUGAGGAAUAUUGGACAAUGGGUGCAAGCCUGAUCCAGCCAUCCCGCGUGAAGGACGACGGCCCUAUGGGUUGUAAACUUCUUUUGUAUAGGGAUAAACCUAGAUACGUGUAUCUAGCUGAAGGUACUAUACGAAUAAGCACCGGCUAACUCCGUGCCAGCAGCCGCGGUAAUACGGAGGGUGCAAGCGUUAUCCGGAUUUAUUGGGUUUAAAGGGUCCGUAGGCGGAUCUGUAAGUCAGUGGUGAAAUCUCACAGCUUAACUGUGAAACUGCCAUUGAUACUGCAGGUCUUGAGUGUUGUUGAAGUAGCUGGAAUAAGUAGUGUAGCGGUGAAAUGCAUAGAUAUUACUUAGAACACCAAUUGCGAAGGCAGGUUACUAAGCAACAACUGACGCUGAUGGACGAAAGCGUGGGGAGCGAACAGGAUUAGAUACCCUGGUAGUCCACGCCGUAAACGAUGCUAACUCGUUUUUGGAUUUUCGGAUUCAGAGACUAAGCGAAAGUGAUAAGUUAGCCACCUGGGGAGUACGUUCGCAAGAAUGAAACUCAAAGGAAUUGACGGGGGCCCGCACAAGCGGUGGAUUAUGUGGUUUAAUUCGAUGAUACGCGAGGAACCUUACCAAGGCUUAAAUGGGAAAUGACAGGUUUAGAAAUAGACUUUUCUUCGGACAUUUUUCAAGGUGCUGCAUGGUUGUCGUCAGCUCGUGCCGUGAGGUGUUAGGUUAAGUCCUGCAACGAGCGCAACCCCUGUCACUAGUUGCCAUCAUUAAGUUGGGGACUCUAGUGAGACUGCCUACGCAAGUAGAGAGGAAGGUGGGGAUGACGUCAAAUCAUCACGGCCCUUACGCCUUGGGCCACACACGUAAUACAAUGGCCAGUACAGAGGGCAGCUACACAGCGAUGUGAUGCAAAUCUCGAAAGCUGGUCUCAGUUCGGAUUGGAGUCUGCAACUCGACUCUAUGAAGCUGGAAUCGCUAGUAAUCGCGCAUCAGCCAUGGCGCGGUGAAUACGUUCCCGGGCCUUGUACACACCGCCCGUCAAGCCAUGGAAGUCUGGGGUACCUGAAGUCGGUGACCGUAACAGGAGCUGCCUAGGUUAAACCA
rnacentral:rRNA from 1 species